rnacentral:rRNA from 1 species
GAUGAACGCUGGCGGCGUGCUUAACACAUGCAAGUCGAACGGAAAGGCCGAAGCUUGCUUCGGUACUCGAGUGGCGAACGGGUGAGUAACACGUGGGUGAUCUGCCCUGUACUUCGGGAUAGGCUUGGGAAACUGGGUCUAAUACCGGAUAUGACGAUCUCUUGGAUGGGGUUGUGGAAAGCUUUUGCGGUAUGGGAUGAGCUCGCGGCCUAUCAGCUUGUUGGUGGGGUAAUGGCCUACCAAGGCGUCGACGGGUAGCCGGCCUGAGGGGGUGUACGGCCACAUUGGGACUGAGAGACGGCCCAGACUCCUACGGGAGGCAGCAGUGGGGAAUAUUGCACAAUGGGCGCAAGCCUGAUGCAGCGACGCCGCGUGGGGGAUGACGGCCUUCGGGUUGUAAACUCCUUUCGCAAUCGACGAAGCCUUUUGGUGACGGUAGGUUGAGAAGAAGCACCGGCUAACUACGUG